GGGAGUAACUAUGACUCU
rnacentral:ncRNA from 3 species